UCCCUGAGACCAUAAUUUUGAUGCAGGACAUCAAGAUUAUGAGCUUGGGAACC
rnacentral:pre_miRNA from 1 species